GCGGCAAUAGCUCAGUUGGUAGAGCACAACCUUGCCAAGGUUGGGGUCGCGGGUUCAAGUCCCGUUUGCCGCUCAA
rnacentral:tRNA from 5 species